CAGCAGCCGCGGGAAUACGUAGGUGGCGAGCGUUGUCCGGAUUUAUUGGGCGUAAAGGGAGUGUAGGCGGUCUUUUAAGUCUGAUGUGAAAGCCCACGGCUCAACCGUGGAGGGUCAUUGGAAACUGGGAGACUUGAGUGCAGAAGAGGAGAGCGGAAUUCCACGUGUAGCGGUGAAAUGCGUAGAUAUAUGGAGGAACACCAGUGGCGAAGGCGGCUCUCUGGUCUGUAACUGACGCUGAGGCUCGAAAGCGUGGGGAGCGAACAGGAUUAGAUACCCCUGUAGUCCCUGUCUCUUAUAC
rnacentral:rRNA from 1 species